AGGUGCAACUCCUCCAGCCUCCGGGGCUAUUUUCUGCUUAUACCUCACAGCUCUGAGUUCUGCCUGGCAGCCUUUCUGAAAUGCAUUUCAGCUUGUUUCAUUACAAACUGCUAAACAGACAGCAGGUGUCUGUCACCUCCUCGGGGCCUGCUCAGAAGACGCUGCUCCCUGUGGCUGCUGGCACUGACUGGGGUGUGCAACAGGUUUGACUCUGCAAGAGUCAGGCUGGGAAAUCCAAAGAUCCAGAGUGGGAAGAUGGGGCAGGAAGAUUAAGCCAGAAAACUGCUGGGCACUAACCUCCUGACUGGCUUGGCAGCAAUCGUCACAGCAUGUGUAAUUGCAGCUUCAGAGUGACCUGCUUUGCUCUUGCUUUGUCAGUCCCCUAGCCAAAAUUGUGCUGUCAAGCUAAAAUCAAACUCUGCUGGUCUGCAAUAUAAGGCAGUGGGGAGAGCUGCUGGAUUGAGGAGCCAUUUGGAAACUGCGCUGCAGUGAUAUCCACCAAGAUCUCUGUGCCUGGUUGGUGACCUUCUUUGCUAAGAGGCAAAUGUCUGCAGCUUGUAAAAGAAAAAGAUGCCUCUGAAUGCCUUUCCACUUUUAAAGUCUCCCCAGCGCCGGCUCAGCAGAGCAAGUGAAACCCAUGGCAGUGCUUACUGUACUUGUACUGUAUGAAUGUAUGCAGCCAUACAUCUGGACAGAGAAGCAUGCCCUGAGCAGGGGGCUGGGAAUUAUUCCUGGAACUGCCUCUGACUUAGAGUUAGAGCCUUGACCUGAGCCAAACCACUAACUAGGAACUGUUUCAAAGCCAAUUCCUAUGAAAAAUAAGGCCAGUAACCCUUCUCUGUCUUGGUGUCCACCCUUGUAACUGCUUUGUAAAAAAGGACUACAUAACAACCCACAAGGGAUUGGGGAAGACUCAUUUAUUUGUAUUUAAAGUACAUCAGUAUCCUUGGAGGAAAGUUCCCUAUUAGAGCAAUAAUGAAUUACAACAAUAGCAACAAUUCAGUUAUCACCAUGAAAUUGCAGGGAUUUGGUCAAUAUCACUUGACUACAGUUUUGUUUAUCCUGCAGAUUACAACAAAGAACAAAUCAUCCUAAGUAUUUUUUGAACAUGGAGGAUGAAAAUGAUAUAUUGCUAUCUUUUAAAAGGAAAUUAAAACUUUAACUCUAAGGUGUGUGUAAUAAAAUGGCACUUUAAUUCUCUAGUGUGCCAUGAAGGCUUCUUCUGUUAAUUUAU